rnacentral:tRNA from 1 species
GCGGCUAUAGCUCAAUGGUAGAGCACCGGGUUGUGGUCCCGGCUACACGAGUUCGAUCCUCGUUAGUCGCC